GUCGAGCGGACAGAUGGGAGCUUGCUCCCUGAUGUUAGCGGCGGACGGGUGAGUAACACGUGGGUAACCUGCCUGUAAGACUGGGAUAACUCCGGGAAACCGGGGCUAAUACCGGAUGGUUGUUUGAACCGCAUGGUUCAGACAUAAAAGGUGGCUUCGGCUACCACUUACAGAUGGACCCGCGGCGCAUUAGCUAGUUGGUGAGGUAACGGCUCACCAAGGCGACGAUGCGUAGCCGACCUGAGAGGGUGAUCGGCCACACUGGGACUGAGACACGGCCCAGACUCCUACGGGAGGCAGCAGUAGGGAAUCUUCCGCAAUGGACGAAAGUCUGACGGAGCAACGCCGCGUGAGUGAUGAAGGUUUUCGGAUCGUAAAGCUCUGUUGUUAGGGAAGAACAAGUGCCGUUCAAAUAGGGCGGCACCUUGACGGUACCUAACCAGAAAGCCACGGCUAACUACGUGCCAGCAGCCGCGGUAAUACGUAGGUGGCAAGCGUUGUCCGGAAUUAUUGGGCGUAAAGGGCUCGCAGGCGGUUUCUUAAGUCUGAUGUGAAAGCCCCCGGCUCAACCGGGGAGGGUCAUUGGAAACUGGGGAACUUGAGUGCAGAAGAGGAGAGUGGAAUUCCACGUGUAGCGGUGAAAUGCGUAGAGAUGUGGAGGAACACCAGUGGCGAAGGCGACUCUCUGGUCUGUAACUGACGCUGAGGAGCGAAAGCGUGGGGAGCGAACAGGAUUAGAUACCCUGGUAGUCCACGCCGUAAACGAUGAGUGCUAAGUGUUUAGGGGGGUUUCCGCCCCUUAGUGCUGCAGCUAACGCAUUAAGCACUCCGCCUGGGGGAGUACGGUCGCAAGACUGAAACUCAAAGGAAUUUGACGGGGGCCCGCACAA
rnacentral:rRNA from 1 species